rnacentral:rRNA from 1 species
GGGAUUUGACCGUGCGAAGGUAGCGCAAUCACUUGUCUUUUAAAUGGAGACCCGUAUGAAUGGCAUAACGAGGGCUUAACUGUCUCCUCUUUCAAGUCAAUGAAGUUGAUCUCCCCGUGCAGAAGCGGGGAUAAUUACAUAAGACGAGAAGACCCUAUGGAGCUUUAGACACUAAAGCAGCCCACGUUAAACACCCCGAACAAAGGACUAAACCUGGCGGGCCCUGCCCGAAUGUCUUUGGUUGGGGCGACCGCGGGGAAUUAAAAAACCCCCACGUGGAACGGGAAAACUUUUCCUACAACUAAGAGCCACAGCUCUAGUAAACAGAACUUCUGACCAUCAAGAUCCGGCAAUGCCGAUCAACGGACCGAGUUACCCUAGGGAUAACAGCGCAAUCCUCUUUUAGAGCCCAUAUCGACAAGAGGGUUUACGACCUCGAUGUU